ACACUCCUACGGGAGGCAGCAGUGGGGAAUUUUGGACAAUGGGGGCAACCCUGAUCCAGCAAUGCCGCGUGAGUGAAGAAGGCCUUCGGGUUGUAAAGCUCUUUUGUCAGGGAAGAAACGGUAGUAGCGAAUAACUAUUACUAAUGACGGUACCUGAAGAAUAAGCACCGGCUAACUACGUGCCAGCAGCCGCGGUAAUACGUAGGGUGCAAGCGUUAAUCGGAAUUACUGGGCGUAAAGCGUGCGCAGGCGGUUGUGUAAGUCAGAUGUGAAAUCCCCGGGCUCAACCUGGGAAUUGCAUUUGAGACUGCACGGCUAGAGUGUGUCAGAGGGGGGUAGAAUUCCACGUGUAGCAGUGAAAUGCGUAGAUAUGUGGAGGAAUACCGAUGGCGAAGGCAGCCCCCUGGGAUAACACUGACGCUCAUGCACGAAAGCGUGGGGAGCAAACAGGAUUAGAAACCCCUGUAGUCCCAU
rnacentral:rRNA from 1 species